rnacentral:rRNA from 1 species
GAUGAACGCUGGCGGCGUGCCUAAUACAUGCAAGUCGAGCGAACGGACGAGAAGCUUGCUUUUCUGAUGUUAGCGGCGUACGGGUGAGUAACACGUGGAUAACCUACCUAUAAGACUGUAAUAACUUCGGGAACCCGUAGCUAAUACGGGAUAAUAUUUUGAACCGCAUGGUUCAAAAUUGAACGCUGCUCUUGCUGUCACUUAUAGAUGGAUCCGCGCUGCAUUAGCUAGUUGGUAAGGUAACGGCUUACCAAGGCAACGAUGCAUAGCAGACCUGAGAGGGCGAUCGGCCACACUGGAACUGAGACACGGUCCAGACUCCUACGGGAGGCAGCAGUAGGGAAUCUUCGGCAAUGGGCGAAAGCCUGACGGAGCAAAGCCGCGUGAGUGAUGAAGGUCUUCGGAUCGUAAACCUCUGUUAUUGGGGAAGAAAAUAUGUGUAAGUAAAUGUGAACAUCUUGACGGUACCUAAUCAGAAAGCCACGGCUAACUACGUG